rnacentral:ribozyme from 14 species
GUUCACCCUAAAAACAGACGGAAAAUAUACAAAGGAUUAAAGAAAAAGAAUAAGAACAAAAGGAAGAAGGUAAAAAAACCAGAUUCGUUUGUUAU